rnacentral:rRNA from 1 species
AGUUUGAUCCUGGCUCAGGACGAACGCUGGCGGCACGCUUAACACAUGCAAGUCGAACGAGAGAAGAGAAGCUUGCUUUUCUGAUCUAGUGGCGGACGGGUGAGUAACACGUGAGCAAUCUGCCUUUCAGAGGGGGAUACCGAUUGGAAACGAUCGUUAAUACCGCAUAACAUAAUUGAACCGCAUGAUUUGAUUAUCAAAGAUUUAUCGCUGAAAGAUGAGCUCGCGUCUGAUUAGCUAGUUGGUAAGGUAACGGCUUACCAAGGCGACGAUCAGUAGCCGGACUGAGAGGUUGAUCGGCCACAUUGGGACUGAGACACGGCCCAGACUCCUACGGGAGGCAGCAGUGGGGAAUAUUGCACAAUGGAGGAAACUCUGAUGCAGCGAUGCCGCGUGAGGGAAGAAGGUUUUAGGAUUGUAAACCUCUGUCUUCAGGGACGAAAAAUGACGGUACCUGAGGAGGAAGCUCCGGCUAACUACGUGCCAGCAGCCGCGGUAAUACGUAGGGAGCGAGCGUUGUCCGGAAUUACUGGGUGUAAAGGGAGCGUAGGCGGGAUCGCAAGUCAGAUGUGAAAACUAUGGGCUUAACCCAUAAACUGCAUUUGAAACUGUGGUUCUUGAGUGAAGUAGAGGUAAGCGGAAUUCCUAGUGUAGCGGUGAAAUGCGUAGAUAUUAGGAGGAACAUCAGUGGCGAAGGCGGCUUACUGGGCUUUAACUGACGCUGAGGCUCGAAAGCGUGGGGAGCAAACAGGAUUAGAUACCCUGGUAGUCCACGCCGUAAACGAUGAUUACUAGGUGUGGGGGGACUGACCCCUUCCGUGCCGCAGCAAACGCAAUAAGUAAUCCACCUGGGGAGUACGACCGCAAGGUUGAAACUCAAAUGAAUUGACGGA